rnacentral:rRNA from 1 species
GAUGAACGCUAGCGAUAGGCUUAACACAUGCAAGUCGAGGGGCAGCACAAGGUAGCUUGCUCUCUGGGUGGCGACCGGCGCACGGGUGCGUAACGCGUAUGCAACUUGCCCUAUACAGGAGGAUAACCCGUCGAAAGACGGACUAAUACUGCGUAUGCUCACAACUUGGCAUCCAGUGGUGAGGAAAGAAAUUCGGUAUAGGAUAGGCAUGCGUCCCAUUAGCUUGUUGGUGAGGUAACGGCUCACCAAGGCAACGAUGGGUAGGGGAACUGAGAGGUUUAUCCCCCACACUGGUACUGAGACACAGACCAGACUCCUACGGGAGGCAGCAGUGAGGAAUAUUGGUCAAUGGGCGCGAGCCUGAACCAGCCAAGUCGCGUGAAGGAUGACUGUCUUAUGGAUUGUAAACUUCUUUUAUACGGGAAUAACAAGAGUCACGUGUGACUCCCUGCAUGUACCGGAUGAAUAAGCAUCGGCUAACUCCGUG